rnacentral:rRNA from 1 species
UGAAUACGGGAUGCUACGGCGUCGAAGCAGUGUAUGUCAGACUUCCAAGAAAAGCUCGCAAUGUCAUAAAUAAAGAAUGCCUGUACCAUAACCGACACAGGUGGGUAGGUAGAGUAUACUAAGGGGCGCGAGAUAACUCUCUCUAAGGAACUCGGCAAAAUAACUCCGUAACUUCGGGAGAAGGAGUGCCUUCUUUAAGAAGGUUGCAAUAACAAGAUCCAAGCAACUGUUUAUCAAAAACACAGGUCUCCGCUAAGUCGUAAGACGAUGUAUGGGGGCUGACGCCUGCCCAGUGCCAGAAGGUUAAAGAAGUUGGUUAGCUUUUGCGAAGCUGAUGACUGAAGCCCUGGUGAACGGCGGCCGUAACUAUAACGGUCCUAAGGUAGCGAAAUUCCUUGUCGGGUAAGUUCCGACCCGCACGAAAGGCGUAAUGAUUUGGAUACUGUCUCGGAGAGGGACUCGGUGAAAUAGACUUGUCUGUGAAGAUGCGGACUACCUGCACCAGGACAGAAAGACCCUAUGAAGCUUUACUGUAACUUGAAAUUGAAAUUGGACUUUAUUUGCGCAGUAUAGGUGGAAGGCGUUGAAAGUAAUCUUGCGGGAUUAGUGGAGCCAUCAGUGAGAUACCACUCCUAUAAUGUUAGAUUUCUAACUUUGGAUCAUGAUCUGGUCAAAGAACAGUUUCAGGCGGGCAGUUUGACUGGGGCGGUCGCCUCCCAAAUGGUAACGGAGGCGUACAAAGGUUUCCUCUGAACGGGUAGAAAUCGUAUCUAGAGUGUAAAGGCAUAAGGAAGCUUGACUGUGAGACCUACAAGUCGAGCAGGGACGAAAGUCGGUCUUAGUGAUCUGACGGUGCUGAGUGGAAAGGCCGUCACUCAACGGAUAAAAGUUACUCUAGGGAUAACAGGCUGAUCUCCCCCAAGAGUUCACAUCGACGGGGAGGUUUGGCACCUCGAUGUCGGCUCAUCGCAUCCUGGGGCGGUAGUACGUCCCAAGGGUUGGGCUGUUCGCCCAUGAAAGCGGUACGCGAGCUGGGUUCAGAACGUCGUGAGACAGUUCGUUCCAUAUCCGGUGUAGGCGUUAGAAUAUUGAGAGGAGCCUUCUUUAGUACGAGAGGACCGAGAAGGACAUACCUCUGGUGUACCAGUUAUCGUGCCAACGGUAAACGCUGGGUAGCUAUGUAUGGAGAGGAUAACCGCUGAAAGCAUCUAAGUGGGAAGCCCACCUCAAGAUGAGUA